GGCACCCUACGGGGCGCAGCAGUGGGGGAUAUUGCACAAUGGGGGAAACCCUGAUGCAGCGACGCCGCGUGGGUGAAGAAGCGCCUCGGCGCGUAAAGCCCUGUCAGCAGGGAGGAAAAUGACGGUACCUGAAGAAGAAGCCCCGGCUAACUACGUGCCAGCAGCCGCGGUAAUACGUAGGGGGCAAGCGUUAUCCGGAUUUACUGGGUGUAAAGGGGGCGCAGACGGCGAUGCAAGCCAGGAGUGAAAGCCCGGGGCUCA
rnacentral:rRNA from 1 species